AUACGAUCUCUACUGAGCUUUGUGGUGACGCCGUGCUGUAGAAUCCCAAAAUAUCUCAUUCUCAGCGUGUCUUCCCCAAACGCUGCGUUCAUCGUUUCCAGAUUAGUGUGUUGUGGUUUUCCUUUUGUCUGGAUUUUGUUCCAGUUCUUUGCAGUCAUACCUGUCUUGGGAUCUGGACUGCAGUUGGCUUGUUGCGGGCCUUGGCCGCGAAUUGUCCGCGGCUCCCACCCCCUGGUGCGCGCACCUGGCCCUGCAGCUGUAUGUUUUGGGUUGCUAUGCUGCUGUUGGACCCAUGAGCUGUUGCUGAGGUUGAGGUUUCUGACACUGGGCAGGAUGUUUGGCUGCAUGAAGUCUUGGCAGUCAAUAAGACUUCAUUGUGCUCUGCUGAAAUUCAAGGUUCUCCAUGCCAGUUCAUCUUCCCAGGAGAAGCCAGCCUCAGCGGGAGAGGCAUAAUCCGAUGACAAGGCUGUCUGCCAGCCUGCUAACUCCAUGAUUGUUUCCAGACAAGUGUUGUUGCCCUCUGGACAGCACGUCUCUCCGUUCUAGAGUAAUGGCCAAUUACCAGGAGGCAGUUUGUUGAAAGGAUGCUGCCAGGAACUACAUCUGCCUUCAAACAGCGAUCGGAUCCAAACAUAUGCUCUGGAACAAACUACCUUCAAAAGAUGAAGCGCAUUCACUAACCAGAGUUGCCUUCAGAAGCGAGUGUUGAGAAAAGUCCAAGCUGUGGAUGACAUGGUAGUGGGGAUUUAUUUGUUUAUUUGUGUAGAUAUUGUUUACUGGGUUGGGAUGAAUAAAUGGCUGGCAGAAGGUUUUGGACAGAAAUAAGUAUUUGAUUAACGGAACAUCUUUUUUUAUUGUUAUUCCUUUUUCUCAGUUCAGUUCAGGUCUUUGAAAUGUGUCAGUCAGAUGUAACAUUUUAGUCCGAAAUAUUACAGUUUUAUUAAACACCAACUGAAAUCUACAGUAACAUCACUGAUUAACAUGCCAAAUAAAUUAUUUACAUCUACCAUGUAAUAAUUAUCUUUUGCAAUAUUGCAAUUGUAUAAUAAAGAAUGUCAUUAUGUGGUUCUGCUUGGAUCAGGAGUUCUGUCUGUAGACUUAAUUUUAGGCAGAGUCUACUCCAAAUGCUCCACUUGUACAUCUGCAUAGCAGGUCCUUUGUUAUAAAGAAAGUCUCUGCUGUAUGUGUUUAACUUGAGAUGCCCUGUCCAGUGUAUUUGAUAAUAAUUGGAUCUUACAUAAAUUCACAAGUUUUUCAA